UACGUAGGGUGCAAGCGUUAUUCGGAAUUACUGGGCGUAAAGGAUGCGUAGGCGGACAUUUAAGUCAGAUGUGAAAUACCCGAGCUUAACUUGGGUGCUGCAUUUGAAACUGGGUGUCUAGAGUGCAGGAGAGGUAAGUGGAAUUCCUAGUGUAGCGGUGAAAUGCGUAGAGAUUAGGAAGAACACCAGUGGCGAAGGCGACUUACUGGACUGUAACUGACGCUGAGGCAUGAAAGCGUGGGGAGCAAACAGG
rnacentral:rRNA from 1 species